UACGUAGGUGGCAAGCGUUUGUCCGGAAUUAUUGGGUGUAAAGCGCGCGCAGGCGGUCCUUUAAGUCUGAUGUGAAAGCCCACGGCUCAACCGUGGAGGGUCAUUGGAAACUGGGGGACUUGAGUGCAGAAGAGGAGAGUGGAAUUCCACGUGUAGCGGUGAAAUGCGUAGAGAUGUGGAGGAACACCAGUGGCGAAGGCGACUCUCUGGUCUGUAACUGACGCUGAGGCGCGAAAGCGUGGGGAGCAAACAGG
rnacentral:rRNA from 1 species